AACGAACGCUGGCGGCAGGCCUAACACAUGCAAGUCGAGCGAAGCCUUCGGGCUUAGCGGCGGACGGGUGAGUAACGCGUGGGAACGUGCCCUUUGGUACGGAAUAGCCCCGGGAAACUGGGAGUAAUACCGUAUGUGGUCGAGAGACGAAAGAUUUAUCGCCAAAGGAUCGGCCCGCGUUGGAUUAGGUAGUUGGUGGGGUAAUGGCCUACCAAGCCGACGAUCCAUAGCUGGUUUGAGAGGAUGAUCAGCCACACUGGGACUGAGACACGGCCCAGACUCCUACGGGAGGCAGCAGUGGGGAAUCUUAGACAAUGGGGGAAACCCUGAUCUAGCCAUGCCGCGUGAUCGAUGAAGGCCUUAGGGUUGUAAAGAUCUUUCAGUGGGGAAGAUAAUGACUGUACCCACAGAAGAAGCCCCGGCUAACUCCGUGCCAGCAGCCGCAUAACAC
rnacentral:rRNA from 1 species